GACGAACGCUGGCGGCGUGCUUAACACAUGCAAGUCGAACGGAAAGGCCCUGCUUUUGUGGGGUGCUCGAGUGGCGAACGGGUGAGUAACGCGUGAGUAACCUGCCCUUGACUUUGGGAUAACUUCAGGAAACUGGGGCUAAUACCGGAUAGGAGCUCCUGCUGCAUGGUGGGGGUUGGAAAGUUUCGGCGGUUGGGGAUGGACUCGCGGCUUAUCAGCUUGUUGGUGGGGUAGUGGCUUACCAAGGCUUUGACGGGUAGCCGGCCUGAGAGGGUGACCGGCCACAUUGGGACUGAGAUACGGCCCAGACUCCUACGGGAGGCAGCAGUGGGGAAUAUUGCACAAUGGGCGGAAGCCUGAUGCAGCAACGCCGCGUGCGGGAUGACGGCCUUCGGGUUGUAAACCGCUUUCGCCUGUGACGAAGCGUGAGUGACGGUAAUGGGUAAAGAAGCACCGGCUAACUACGUGCCAGCAGCCGCGGUGAUACGUAGGGUGCGAGCGUUGUCCGGAUUUAUUGGGCGUAAAGGGCUCGUAGGUGGUUGAUCGCGUCGGAAGUGUAAUCUUGGGGCUUAACCCUGAGCGUGCUUUCGAUACGGGUUGACUUGAGGAAGGUAGGGGAGAAUGAAAUUCCUGGUGGAGCGGUGGAAUGCGCAGAUAUCAGGAGGAACACCAGUGGCGAAGGCGGUUCUCUGGGCCUUUCCUGACGCUGAGGAGCGAAAGCGUGGGGAGCGAACAGGCUUAGAUACCCUGGUAGUCCACGCUGUAAACGGUGGGUACUAGGUGUGGGGUCCAUUCCACGGGUUCCGUGCCGUAGCUAACGCUUUAAGUACCCCGCCUGGGGAGUACGGCCGCAAGGCUAAAACUCAAAGGAAUUGACGGGGCCCCGCACAAGCGGCGGAGCAUGCGGAUUAAUUCGAUGCAACGCGUAGAACCUUACCUGGGUUUGACAUGGAUCGGGAGUGCUCAGAGAUGGGUGUGCCUCUUUUGGGGUCGGUUCACAGGUGGUGCAUGGCUGUCGUCAGCUCGUGUCGUGAGAUGUUGGGUUAAGUCCCGCAACGAGCGCAACCCUUGUUCACUGUUGCCAGCACGUUAUGGUGGGGACUCAGUGGAGACCGCCGGGGUCAACUCGGAGGAAGGUGGGGAUGACGUCAAGUCAUCAUGCCCCUUAUGUCCAGGGCUUCACGCAUGCUACAAUGGCUGGUACAGAGAGUGGCGAGCCUGUGAGGGUGAGCGAAUCUCGGAAAGCCGGUCUCAGUUCGGAUUGGGGUCUGCAACUCGACCUCAUGAAGUCGGAGUCGCUAGUAAUCGCAGAUCAGCAACGCUGCGGUGAAUACGUUCCCGGG
rnacentral:rRNA from 1 species